UACGAAGGGGGCUAGCGUUGUUCGGAAUCACUGGGCGUAAAGCGCACGUAGGCGGCUAUUCAAGUCGGGGGUGAAAGCCCGGGGCUCAACCCCGGAACAGCCCUCGAAACUAGAUAGCUAGAAUCUUGGAGAGGCGAGUGGAAUUCCGAGUGUAGAGGUGAAAUUCGUAGAUAUUCGGAAGAACACCAGUGGCGAAGGCGACUCGCUGGACAAGUAUUGACGCUGAGGUGCGAAAGCGUGGGGAGCAAACAGG
rnacentral:rRNA from 1 species